rnacentral:rRNA from 1 species
GAAUCCCGUCCUUGACACAGACUCCCAGUGCUUUGUGAUGCGCUCUCGACGAGUCGAGUUGUUUGGGAUUGCAGCUCAAAAUGGGAGGUAAAUUCCUUCUAAAGCUAAAUAUUGGCGAGAGACCGAUAGCGAACAAGUACCGUGAGGGAAAGAUGAAAAGCACUUUGGAAAGAGAGUUAAACAGUACGUGAAAUUGUUAAAAGGGAAACGCUUGAAGUCAGCCACGUUUGCUUGGACUCAGCCUUACUUCGGUCUGGUGCAUUUCCUUGCAGACGGGCCAGCGUCCAUGUUGUUCGUCGGGAAAGGGGUGAAAGAAUGUGGCUCCUCUCAGAGUGUUAUAGCUUUGACUCGUAUGCGGGGGACAAUAUGGAGUGGUACAGCAUGCUUCGGUGGUGCUUGUGCUGGCAUAAUGGCUUUAAACGACCCGUCUUGAAACACGGACCAAGGAGUCUAACAUGUCUGCGAGUGUUUGGGUGGAAAACCCGAGCGCGUAAUGAAAGUGAUAGCUGGGAAACCCCUUUUGGAGAGGCACCGGCGCCCCGAGCUGACCUUCUGUGACGCAUCGGAGGUAGAGCAUAUAUGUUGGGACCCGAAAGAUGGUGAACUAUGCCUGAAUAGGGCGAAGCCAGAGGAAACUCUGGUGGAGGCUCGUAGCGAUUCUGACGUGCAAAUCGAUCGUCAAAUUUGGGUAUAGGGGCGAAAGACUAAUCGAACCAUCUAGUAGCUGGUUCCUGCC